rnacentral:rRNA from 1 species
CAAUGGGGGAAACCCUGAUGCAGCGACGCCGCGUGAGUGAUGAAGUAUUUCCGUAUGUAAAACUCUAUCAGCAGGGNAAGAUAAUGACGGUACCUGACUAAGAAGCACCGGCUAAAUACGUGCCAGCAGCCGCGGUAAUACGUAUGGUGCAAGCGUUAUCCGGAUUUACUGGGUGUAAAGGGUGCGUAGGUGGUAUGGCAAGUCAGAAGUGAAAGGCUGGGGCUCAACCCCGGGACUGCUUUUGAAACUGUCAAACUAGAGUACAGGAGAGGAAAGCGGAAUUCCUAGUGUAGCGGUGAAAUGCGUAGAUAUUAGGAGGAACACCAGUGGCGAAGGCGGCUUUCUGGACUGAAACUGACACUGAGGCACGAAAGCGUGGGGAGCAAACAGGAUUAGAUACCCCUGGUAGUCCAAGGGCGAAUUC